UGUGUGUUGUGUGUGUGUCAGAUGCGGGCUGUGUGGCGACUGCUAACAACAGUGUUGAGUGGCUGCAGAAGAACUUUGGCCCGUUCUCUCAGUUCGUGUCUCUCACAGAUCUGAUCUCCAUCAACAGACUCUUUGAUCCCUUGGAGACCCUGGACAAUCUCACUCCCAAGCAGGUGGCUGGACUGUUGGUUGAAGAGCUACCUGGUCUCCCAGAGAAGAAAGUCGUCAUCAAUACAGUGUUUGAUCAUCUGUUUGUGUCUCCUGUGGAGCGAGGACUUCCUGAUGUUCUUCAAAACCUGCUCUCAAUCUCACAGAUGACCAUUAUUCCGUGCAGCUCCUACAUACUGAUGUAAGUGUACUUGGUACAUGAUAUUGAGUCUCUGGCCUCUUUGCACUGAGAUCUGCUGUAAUUCUGUGGUUCUUUCUCAGAUUCCAGAGGCUGUUUCAGGCGUUACCUUUCCUGCCGACGGAGAUGGAGACUGUGGUCUUCCAAACAACUGGAGAACUCAAGCAGAAUGGAGCAAGAGACUGUUCACUUCCUGAACCGCCAACAGUACCUGAACCUCCAACAUGUCUGUUCACUCCUGUGAAUGCUACCAGAGUUUGUUCAGGAGUCAACAGUAACGAGACUCUCCUAUCCGCUGCAUCCGUGAGCGCCCCCUGUAGUGUGGACCUGCAGCAAUACAUUUGCUCUUCGCUCACCGGCAUCACUGCUGGAAACCUGGCUGAACUCCUGAAGUGUCAACUUUCAAGCAGCAGAACUUACUCCAAGGAGAUCUGGAAACUAUUUUUCACCAAAGCAAAUGAUGUUCUGGACGGAGCCCUCGUCAUAUUCUCCAGCGCAGCAGCAAAUAUGUCUCAGCCAAUCAGAGGUGAUGUCGUGUCCCAAGUGCUGGAUGUGGUUGGAGAGCUGAGACUGGAGCGCAUCAGUCCUGACCAAUGGACAGACCUCUCUUUCAUCAGCAUGUUGUUGGGUCAAUAUCUGAAGCCGUUUUUACCAUUUGCGUCACCAUCCCUACUGCUGUGCACCAGCAGCAAAAACCUCAGCUGCCAAACUUACCAGCACAUUCUGUCAGAGGUCCCACUCGUCAAUGAGAUUCAAGGAAGAGACAUGGCAAACUUCUUCAUUCUGCCCUUCCUGAGAAGAAACGCAACAGAUGCGGGCUGUGUGGCGACUGCUAACAACAGUGUUGAGUGGCUGCAGAAGAACUUUGGCCCGUUCUCUCAGUUCGUGUCUCUCACAGAUCUGAUCUCCAUCAACAGACUCUUUGAUCCCCUCGAGACCCUGUCUAAUCUCACUCCAGAGCAGAUGGUUGGACUGAUUGUUAAUACUCAGCCUGGUGUGCCACAGAAUUUCAUCAUUAAUACUGUUUUUGAUCAUCUGCUCGUGUCUCCUGUGCAACGAGGAUUUCCAGAUGUUCUUGAGCUCCUUUAUAUUUUCUCCACAAGGAAUCCACUCAGCUGUCAAACCAACCAGAUAAUCUUCACGAGGCUGGAGCAGAUCUUGAGCUCAGGAGCGGGUGAUCUGGAGCCUGUCAUCUGGAAGAGCCUUUAUAACUUCAGCAGCACGGCUCCUGCAGACUGCACUCUUCUUCCAGUCGUGAAUGAGUGUCCCGUGACUCCAUUCAACGAGACUCGGGUGUGCAGCGGAGUGGACAGUUCUGCAGCACAGCAGUGCUUGAACGAAGGACGGAUUUGUGGCUUCAGUAUUGCAGCACAUGCAUGUGCCCCGGUGCUGGAUGUGAACAUGGACUAUCUGGUCACACUACUGAACGCUCAUCUGUCUGUGGAUGACAUGAGCUCAGCUGAGAGCUGGAAACUCUUCCUGACCAGAGUCUCAAACCUGCUGGACGUCGCCCUCCUCCAGCUCUCCAACCAGUCGGUGUGGUGGAGCAGCAGCUCUGCCUCUGUGGCUCUGGACGUCCUGCGGGAGCUGCGUCUGGACAGACUGACGGAUGAGAGCGCUGUAGUGCUGUGGCUCGAUGAACACCUGCGAGCGUUCCUGCCCAGUGCGUCUGGGACGUUCCUGCAGUGUCUGCGCAGCCAGAACCUCAGCUGCCAGAGCUUCCAGACAGUGUAAACAGCCCAGAUCCUCCUCACUUACUCUUUAAACAUUUACAACCAGUCAAACACACUGAGUGAGCAGUGUGUGAAUAUGGAUCUCAGUAUCAGUUUAGAUUUGGAGUCUGAGUGUUGACAUAUUGGUGUGUGUGUGUGUGUGUGUGUGUGUGUGUGAUGAAGGGUUGGGGCGUUCGAUGCAGGAUUUUCCCAUAUGAAUGACGUUCAGCGCCAAACAGUCGUGUCACACUUCAUCGUCCCGUUCCUCUCGAGAGCAGGUACUGAUCAGACGCUCCUCUGUGUGUCAUUCAUCUGUCUGGGUCAGAUCAGCUCAUCAAUAACACUGUACUGCUGUGUGUGUGUGUGUUCAGGUGCGGCGUGUGUCUCCAUCAACAGCUCUCAGUGGCUCAUCAGUAACUUCGGCCAGUUCUCUGCCCUUGUUCCUCUGAAUCAGCUGAUCUCACUCAACCCACAGUUCAACCCGGUACAGUCAUUGAAUCACGUUUACACCACGAACAGUCACUGCAUUCAUCAGGAUUUACUCUAACACACUGGUUCCCAAUCCUGGUCCUGGAGAACCCCCAACACUGCACGCUUUUGGUGUCUCUCUUAUCUGACGCACACACUUGAGGUCUUGGAGUCUCCACUCAUCAGGUGUGUUUGAUUAUGGAGACAUCUCAAAUGUGCAGUGUCGGGGUUCUCCGGGACCAGGAUUGGGAACCACUGCUGUAAAACAUGGUCGUUUUACCUGAGACACAAACUGAGAAAGAUACUGAGGUGUUUUGAUACAUUGAUGUGGGCAUGUCUCUCAGAUUUUAUAUUAAUAAGAGAAAUGUAUGUAUAGAUGAAUUGCUCACAAUAAGAUCUAUUAUGUGUAAUUAGAAAAUGAGGUGAUUUUUCCUUGCAUGCUGACUUUAGCAGGAGAAGAUUCUCUUAGAACAGGAUACAGUUUCUUCCACAGUUUUACUGGAAAACAAGCUUCCGAUUGUUUUUGAAAUGUGUAAGAGUUUUAACUGGAUAUUUCCUCCUUGUCUUGUCUGUUUCCAGAUGAGCAGCCUGCUCUAUCUGUCUCCAGAGCAGCUGGUCGGGCUGAUGUUUGACGACGUUCCUGGUCUUCCAGAGAAAAGUGUGGUCAUCAAUGCCGUGUUCGAUCACCUGACGGCGUCUCCACAGAGAGAGAGGAUCGUCUCCACACUUCCCAUCAUGGUGGAGUCAUCAAAGACAGUAAGAGAGUUUCUCAGGGCACUUCUGCAUCAGUUUCUCAUGGCUGUCGCACUGUUAACACCUGGAUGUGUUUCUCUCUGACAGAGGAACGUCUCCUGCGCAUCAUAUCAGAUCAUGUGAGUGUCGUCAUAUACUGAAUGUGCUUCAUGUGCUGAACCUCACAGUCUCGUGCUCACACAUCUGUCUGUCUGUCUGCUAGCUUCCACCGUCUGGAUCAUCUGAUGGUCAGCGUGCCGGUGGAUCUGGAGUCUGUGAUUCUGAGGAGUAGAUCAGCUCUUCUUCAGAACGUGCCGCAGGGUGAGACCAGAGCACUUUCACUAUCAUGAGACGUUUGAUUUUAGUCACAAGUUCAUCUGAAUUCAGUUCCCUGCUGUUUAGUAUGUAUCAGACAUCACACACACACACACACUCAUGAGUGUGUCUCUCUGUCUCAGGUUGUGUGAGCUCCAGCAGACAGGUGAGUGUUGAAGAUGCUCUGGAGAAUAAGACGAGUGCUUAACUCUACUGAUAGUGCACUUGUAGUGUACUUCAUAUCUUCAACAACGAAAGAAACAGUACUUAAAGAGAGACACUUUCAUGUUUUUUGACACACUUGAGUAUGCUUUUAAACGUUUAAUUUGUAAACAAACUUUAAGUACAUUUAUAAGUGCAUUUCCAAACUGGUUUAAUAAUAUAUUGUUAUGCUUUAAAGAAGUGCACUAAUUUUGAUGUGCUG
ensembl:lncRNA